rnacentral:rRNA from 1 species
UACGAAGGGGGCUAGCGUUGCUCGGAAUCACUGGGCGUAAAGGGUGCGUAGGCGGGUCUUUAAGUUAGGGGUGAAAUCCUGGAGCUCAACUCCAGAACUGCCUUUGAUACUGAAGAUCUUGAGUUCGGGAGAGGUGAGUGGAACUGCGAGUGUAGAGGUGAAAUUCGUAGAUAUUCGCAAGAACACCAGUGGCGAAGGCGGCUCACUGGCCCGGUACUGACGCUGAGGUGCGAAAGCGUGGGGAGCAAACAGG